UACCAUCGGAGCAAGGUCGUGCUGCAGGAUUUCAGUGUCCGGCCGCGUUUCAGUGCAUCCACGGAUCUGAGAGAGUGAGCAGACCUCAGCACCGAGGAACAGAUCAAAGCUGACAUCGCUUCUAUGACACAGAUAUUUUGGGGUCAGCGGGAACUGGAUACACUCAGAUAUAUGAAGACAUCUGAGGAGGAGCUGCUGCUUCUUCCUGCCUGUCUGGUUUUCCGUGCUCAACUUAAACUUUAACCUCCCCUGAGCCUCCCUGGCUAAUGACUGACGACGUUUUAACACACUUUGAGGAAAGGCCCCACAGCUGUUUGUCCCUGUGUGGUGGAAACACACAUGUUUGCUGGGUCUGACCUUCCUUCAGCCUGAUGCAGGCGCACACCUGCUCCCCCAGCCGCUCGUCUUUCACUCCAACCACCUCAGAGACACAGAACACAUGUUGAAUUUCCACCACAGCCGAUUAAUGUGACUUCUCAGUGGAUCAAAUGUCAACUGUUUACAGUUUUCUCACAAUCUCCGGGGGGCACGGAGAACCUCCCAUGAACCCUGGAGCACAACAGACGGACAAGGCAGCUCAGAGGACGGCUGAACAUCGCACCAAAUUCAAAAUGACGUAAUUUUAACUUUGAAACUUCUCACCAGUUUCAAGCGAUGACAAGUCAUACUUGUGCAAAUCUGGUUGGCUGAGCAAGUCGAUGAACAUUGUGGGAGUGGCAUAGAUGUAAUUGCACCUUGAGAAACAAUAAAUAGGUGCAGGCAGUGAAUGUGCAUGUUAUACGUUUUAAUUAAACUGUGGUGAUGAA